CAUUACCCAUCCAAGACCCCGCCCAAAUCCCACGUUUCCACCCGGUCCCAAAUUCCUGUCUAACCAAACAACCCCAUUUGCACCUCUUCAUCAUCUUCCUCAGUGUCCGAACACUAAUCUCUAGUUUUCCAUAUAAGUGUCUGAACAUGUCUCACCCCCCCUAGUCCAAACACGCCCUCUUCAUCGUCUUCCUCAGAGACCCUCAAGAACCCUAACACUGCCCUUAAAUCCCUAAUCCUUUCCGGUGGCGGCGCCGCUUCAAAUCGCCCCUGAAAUUACACCAUAUAAUCUCCUGCCCCUCCUCUUCCUAAAUCCCGAAGCAACUGCCCUCAAAUCCUUCUCCACAGUUUCGAACUUUAGAUCUUAUAUCAAGAACCCAAACCCUAAAAUCCAAAAGCUCCUGAAUCAUCGAAUAUCAUUGAUUUUUUAAGGUCGAAAUUGAUGUUAUUCGCAAGUUCCCAAUGAGAACAUUUGAUUAAAUUCAAUCUCAGUCAAAAAUCGGAAGUUCUUGAGGACAAUUCAGGACUGUCUUCCAUUCGUCUAUGUCUAGGUAUUUCUUUCCAGCCCUUACUUCCUUUCAUCUCAUUUUAUUCUCAUUAAUCGCUUCUGUUUUCUUUCUUUUCUUUUUGUCUUCUUUCUUGUUUUCUCGAACCCUUCUGUUAUGCCUGAUGAUUUUGAGUUUUGUAGUCCACAUUUCUGUUUCCUCUUAUGUCUUUCUCUUUCUUUUAUUAGUUCAUGUUGACCCUUUGUUUGCAUGCUUAGAAUUAGGUCAUACUAAUUUGUUGUUCGUUAGCAUAGUAGUGCAAUUCACGGCCUCUUUAAUGCUUUAGCCUCAUGUUCUAUUUUGUUUUCAUUGUUUCUUGUUUUUUUUAUUUGUUCUUUUAGAAUUUUGAUGCUUUGUGUUCUUAAUUUUUGGGAUUAAUUGUUUGUGGUCUGUGGACCAUAAUUGGGGCUUCAUAACUCAGAAGCCAAAGGAAAAGUGAAAAGGCUCAGAGUUGCUAGGGUCGAGCCUAGCUAAUGACAAUUCCGGAAGGGUAAACACUGGGAAUUUAAAGGGUAUUUUGGGUAGUUUAGUUUAGGAAAUCUUGUAUAACUAACUUAGGAAGCUGUUAGGAAGGUGGAUUUGGGGCUGUUUUGUGAAAAUUUUAAAAGGGGGAAAAGGGAAAUAAACUGACCCAUUUCUGCUUCCCUAAGGCUUGCCUAUAAAGGCAUUAUUCCUUCACUUACAAGGCAGAAUUGGAGAGACUGAAAAAACCUAAAAAAAGAAGGUUCAUGAACGACUGAGUUCUUCAUACUCUUUAAAUACUGAAAGCUAUUUGCAUUUGGUAGUAGAAAUCUACUUGUUUUGUUCCUUGUUUUCAUUAUUGAUCAGAAUUUUCUAAAAGAAUCCAAGAAGUGUAUUCAUUUGGGUUCAACUUGGUUUGAAAGAAGCCAGGGUUUGGCUGGUUUGGUUGAGCUGAUUAUGCUGCUUUUGCUAACUCUUCUUUCUCCUUAUUUCUAUUUGAACUUCCAGGUACUCUUCUGAACUAUGAGUGGCAAAUGAAAUUCGAAUGUGUUGUUGUAUGGAAGAUGAGAUUUCUUUUUAAGUUAAUAAGAAUCAUAUUGAUUUUGCGUUUUAGUCUCUACAUCUCUCUUAGGCUAUUUAGUUUUGAAUGUUGUCUUUCUUUGUCAAUCAUUUAUCAGGUUUUAAGUUUGCUGUAAUCUGUUCUGUGGCAUAUGCUCAAAAUUUAUGUUGAGAAUAGCAAAUUCACAUAACAGAUUUGUUUUAAAGUGGUAGUAUAAUCAGGUCAGUGUUUGUUCUUCUCUAAAAUGAGGAUCUGGACCAUCAUAAGGGUUUGGAGGUUUGGUUUGUUGUUGUGAAGGAUGAGUUUAGGCUCAUGUUUUGUAUAUUUCUGGAAGAGAUUUCAUGUUACUGCAUGAACCUUAUCCAAAUUAAUUAUAUUAGAAGUCAGAUGUUACUGGGGGUAGUAGAAUGUACGCAUUUGGUGAUCAACUAUUUGUUUAAGGUUAUUUGGAAUGGGAUUUAAUGUUUGGAAUGAGGCAAAGUUGAGCUAUACUAAUAGAGGUAUUCCUUAUUUGAGACCAUGUUAGUGUUUUGGCUUUAAUCCAUGAAUUAUGCUAGAUUUUGAAUGAUAGUUAAUUAUGUAUGAGUCAUUAUGACCUUAAGGAAAUGUAUUUAUCAUAGAAUGUGUUUGAGCAUCAAGAACAUGCUUUGCAUUGGUUUA
rnacentral:lncRNA from 1 species